rnacentral:rRNA from 1 species
CGUAGGGGCAAGCGUUAUCCGGAUUUACUGGGUGUAAAGGGAGUGUAGACGGCAAGGCAAGUCUGAAGUGAAAGCCCGGUGCUCAACGCCGGGACUGCUUUGGAAACUGUUUAGCUAGAGUGCCGGAGAGGUAAGCGGAAUUCCUAGUGUAGCGGUGAAAUGCGUAGAUAUUAGGAAGAACACCAGUGGCGAAGGCGGCUUACUGGACGGUAACUGACGUUGAGGCUCGAAAGCGUGGGGAGCAAACAGGAUU